GACGAACGCUGGCGGCGUGCCUAAUACAUGCAAGUAGAACGCUGAAGCGAGGAGCUUGCUCUUCUUGGAUGAGUUGCGAACGGGUGAGUAACGCGUAGGUAACCUGCCUUGUAGCGGGGGAUAACUAUUGGAAACGAUAGCUAAUACCGCAUAACAAUGGAUGACACAUGUCAUUUAUUUGAAAUGGGCAAUUGCUCCACUACAAGAUGGACCUGCGUUGUAUUAGCUAGUAGGUGAGGUAAUGGCUCACCUAGGCGACGAUACAUAGCCGACCUGAGAGGGGGAUCGGCCACACUGGGACUGAGACACGGCCCAGACUCCUACGGGAGGCAGCAGUAGGGAAUCUUCGGCAAUGGGGGCAACCCUGACCGAGCAACGCCGCGUGAGUGAAGAAGGGUUUCGGAUCGUAAAGCUCUGUUGUAAGUCAAGAACGGGUGUGAGAGUGGAAAGUUCACACUGUGACGGUAGCUUACCAGAAAGGGACGGCUAACUACGUG
rnacentral:rRNA from 1 species